rnacentral:rRNA from 1 species
GUGGGGAAUUUUGGACAAUGGGCGCAAGCCUGAUCCAGCAAUGCCGCGUGCAGGAAGAAGGCCUUCGGGUUGUAAACUGCUUUUGUACGGAACGAAACGGUCCGGGUUAAUACCCUGGGCUAAUGACGGUACCGUAAGAAUAAGCACCGGCUAACUACGUGCCAGCAGCCGCGGUAAUACGUAGGGUGCAAGCGUUAAUCGGAAUUACUGGGCGUAAAGCGUGCGCAGGCGGUUUUGUAAGACAGGCGUGAAAUCCCCGGGCGCAACCGGGGGAUUGCGCUUGUGACUGCAAGGCUGGAGUGUGGCAGAGGGGGAUGGAAUUCCGCGUGUAGCAGUGAAAUGCGUAGAUAUGCGGAGGAACACCGAUGGCGAAGGCAAUCCCCUGGGCCUGCACUGACGCUCAUGCACGAAAGCGUGGGGAGCAAACAGGAUUAGAAACCCCGGUAGUCC